AUUAUAGCUGUGCAAUUCCUUAUGACCAAUAUGUAGCUAAAAACACUAAAUAUGAAUGUUAGCUAUUAACUUUUAUUUAAAACAGAAUAAUGGGUCAUGGGAAGGUGACAACCCUGCCAUGACAUUUGCGCUAGACAAACUGUCUGUCAUCAUAGUUACAGUUAUGAUUUACCUGCCAUUAGAGGCACCUUAUAAGUAAAACGACAACGGGGAAGCAAACCAAAAAAAAAAUAUACAAAACCACCCCGUAAAACCCUAAAUGGAAACCCGAAAAAGCGGGCACGCGUCAGUUGGCAACGAUCCCUAACAAUCCGGUGGAAAAACAUAAACGAGUUGAGCGCACUAGACAAAUCCCAUAAGCAAAUUCGGUUCACGCAGUUACCCCCCGUCGCAGUGCGGAGACCCCGAGACUUCAGGCCCCGGAUCCCAACCCGUAUCCGCAUCCGCAUCCGCAUCCGAAUCCGAAUCCGAGCAGGACGAGCACUACGAAUCUGAAGGACUACCACACUGGAGUGCAACCCUGUUACUUUCCAUUCUUCAUUAUCAAGAGAACUGCUUAACAUUUAGUGUUAACUACUAGCUCAAAUGUUCAGUUUUCCAUAAAAAGCCAAGUAAACAACAUAUAGAAAUCAUUAUCCUAGACGUUCAUCUCUCAGUCAGCUUGUUUCGUAAUCGGAAUCGACAGUAAAACACCGUGCGCACACUUUCAAAAUUCCCAGUGCGAAGGGGGUUUGCUCCGUCGAUGUGGAAAUGGAUGUGGAUGAGCAUUUUUGACAUGGCAGACGAUGUCGACGAGUGCCAUCAAUCGUUUAGACCACGACGCCGGGCGUUGGCGAUGGCGAUAGCGACAAAUCUGAUAUGAGAUUGGGAGUCGGAUGAGGAUGCGGAUGCGGAUGCGGAUGAGGAUGAGGAUGAGGAUGCGGACUCAGAUGCGUCCCCGGUCGAGGAUUAUGUGCGUGUAAAGCGCACACCCACAAAAAUGCCACCCCUUCCGCCAGCUAUCCAGCUACCAAGUCCCGAGGGACACUCAAAGCAGCCGGAAGUGGUUAUGCUAAAUAAGAAAUUAAUUUAAUUUUAAUUUAUUUGUGCUUUAUCCCUUAUAUAUAUAUGUACAUUUCAUUAAAGCUAAUGGUAUAAUUAGGUAUUUACAGUGUUUAGCUAAGGCUUUCAUCUGAAAUAUUUAUUAAUUAUGUCUAGUUGACCUGUUUUUAGUUUUUUGUAUAACAAUAUUUAUUAUUUAUUAAGGAAAACAAGGGAGAAGAAAAACCUUAAUUGACUUACAACUAACUUAAAAAACUAAGACUUGAAACAAAAGAUUGUUAAUAUUGUAUUUUUUGUUGAACUUUUUGUACACCUACUUUUAUAUGUAGGUACUUAGUGUUUGUGUAAUAAGGUAAGUUCAUUAUUAAUUUUAACAGCUUGUUUUGGCAUAUUUGAAGUUUUUUGAUAUGAGUUUGAGCACAUCUACCCCAAACAGGUGACCCAUACAUUAAUAUUGGAUUAAAAAUUGUUUUAAAAAUUA